UACAGAGGGGGCAAGCGUUAUUCGGAAUUAUUGGGCGUAAAGGGCGCGUAGGCGGCUUGGCAAGUGGAUGGUGAAAUCCCUCGGCUUAACCGAGGAACUGCCGUCCAAACUGCUUCGCUUGAGACCGGGAGAGGUGAGUGGAAUUCCCAGUGUAGCGGUGAAAUGCGUAGAUAUUGGGAGGAACACCAGUGGCGAAGGCGGCUCACUGGACCGGAACUGACGCUGAGGCGCGAAAGCGUGGGGAGCAAACAGG
rnacentral:rRNA from 1 species